rnacentral:rRNA from 1 species
UACGUAGGAGGCGAACGUUAUUCGGAUUUACUGGGCGUAAAGGGAGCGUAGGCGGUUCCUUAAGUCAGAUGUGAAAUCUUCUGACUCAAUCAGAAGGGGUCAUUUGAUACUGAGGGACUUGAGAACAGCAGAGGGAAAUGGAAUCCCCAGUGUAGCGGUGAAAUGCGUAGAUAUUGGGGAGAACACCAGUGGCGAAGGCGAUUUUCCAGGUUGUUUCUGACGCUGAGGCUCGAAAGCGUGGGGAGCGAAGCGGAAUUAGAUACCCGUGGUA